rnacentral:tRNA from 1 species
GGUAGAGCAGCUGACUCUUAAUCAGCGGGUCCGGGGUUCGAGUCCCCGGUGGCGUACCA